AGUCAAAUUCCUCACCAGCCAAACCCACGCAGAAAGUCUCAAAUCUACAAUGGAGAUGUAAAUACAGUCAAUAAAAAUUGCGUAGUUAUUACGCAUAGUGAUUGCGCUUCUUUUUACGCGGUAACUCUUUAAACGAUUGGUUUGGCGUGAACGCUGCAACACAGAGCAACAUUGCAUUGCUAUCAACAUGCUGCAAACAGGAAAUCGGGUACCUUAAACGAUUAUUUUGUUAUGCAACACAUUACCUAUGUAAGACUUAGUCCGCUUAUUAGUAUAAACACUACAAACAACAUGCUAGCUUCGGUCGAUGUCUUUAACUACGCCACAGAAAGCUAGUCAAUAACUAUGUAUGUAACGUAAAAACAAGCGCAAAUAACAGAAACGUCCGAAAUGUCGCCGGACAAGUUGACAUGGACGCUGACGGGAGCUACAGUCGCCGGUGUUUUAGCGGUAUAUGUUCCCUGUGCUCCGCGGACUGUGCCCGGUGGAGACUCAGGAGAGUUGCUGACUGCUGCCUGUGAGCUGGGGGUGGCUCAUCCUCCAGGAUACCCCCUCUUCACCAUGCUCUCUUCUCUGAUGCUCUCACUUCUUCCUCUCAGUUCUCCGACACACAGUAUCAAUGUCUUGUGCGCUGUCUUUGGGGCCGGAGCAAGCGGGGCCCUCUGUUUUACUGUGUGCAGGGUGUCAGGGCCCGGUCCAGGGGCUGUCCUGGCAGGUGGAGUGUUUGCAGUGUCCAGGCUGGUAUGGCAGUGGUCAGUCAUGGCUGAAGUCUUCGCCCUUAAUAACUUGUUUGUGGGCGUCUUGUUCACCCUCUCUGCAUGUUUCCACUGUGCAGAAAGUGUUCAUCAGAAGAAGAAGUAUGCUCUGUGGGGGGCGCUGUGCUGUGGUUUGAGCCUGUGUAAUCAACAUACACUGGUCUUAUAUGUUGCUGUCAUAAUUUCCUGGGCGAUCCUGCACCUCUACACUCAUAAUGGAUUGUCCUUCUAUGGUCUGUUGUCUCUGGGGACGUGUUUUCUGGCUGGCUUCAUGCCCUACAUCUACCUGCCCAUUUCCUCCUAUCUGAACAGAGCUCGCUGGAGCUGGGGAGACCAGACAUCACUUAGUGGUCUGCUCACACACCUGAUCAGAGCUGAAUACGGCACCUUCAGUCUGGCAAAAACAGAAGAAAGCGUGGCCUUCAUGAAGAUGUUACAGGCUCAGUGGAAUCACUGUGUGAAUGAUCUGUCUACUCCAGUGCUAGUGUUGGUGGUGCUGAGCGUUCUCUUCUCUCUGAGGAACAGGGGGCGCUUUGUUUUUGUGUGGUUGAUACUCAUCAUGGUGAGCAUCUACUCUAUGUUUUUUGCCUGGAGAGCGAAUCUGGAUAUUGAGAAGCCACUGCUACUGGGGGUGGUGGAGCGGUUCUGGCUGCAGGCUGAUGCAGGGGUGUGUGUGCUUGCUGGUCUGGGUCUGAGCUGGACUUUGUGUUGGCUGAACAGGCGCCUGGGCUGGGGUGCUGUGUGGAACACGGGGGCCUGGAUUCUCACUGUAGGCCUCAUAUCAUACAUGAUCAAUUUAAACCAUAGAGAGUGUGAUCAAAGCAGCAAUGACGUUGUGGACCGGUUUGCUCGUGAGGUUGUGUUCUCAUUACCGGAAGGCUCGUUGGUGCUGACGCGAGGUGAUCUCCCUGGCAACACGCUGCGUUACCUUCACUACUGCCAGGGGCUCCGGCCAGACCUCAGCCUUGUCGACCAGGAGAUGAUGACGUAUGGCUGGUAUGUGGCGAAACUCCAGAAGCAUCUACCCAGAGUGAAGUUUCCUGGAGGUCGGUGGGAUCCUGUCAACAGUGCGGAAAAGAAAACCUUCAGUAUUGCACAGUUUCUCAAGCACAAUACGCACAGGCCUGUGUUUGUGUGUAUCGGCCUAAACGAGGGCGACCCCAGCUGGGAGAGGAGCUUCUCUCGUUGGCCCUGGGGUGUGUGUGAACAGCUGGUACCUGUCAAGACACCUUUUGAACCGGAGAAAUGGGCCCACCGUACACUUAACCUCUACAACUGGAGCCAGCCACACGACAGCUUCCAUCCUGGUUCCUGGGAGAGAGUCGCCAAUGAUGAGAUGUGGCAGGCCAGGAUGAAAACAGCCUUCUUUCUGUUUGACCUUGCUGAGAAGAUGGAGGGAGAAGCGCAAGCUCGUCUAUAUGAGAUUUCUUACAAUGUGAGGAGGAAAUGACAUCACACACCCUUCAUAAGAAUCAAAGUGUUUGCAAGGCAGGACUGUAUUGAUGUUCCUCAGACAUUCCUUUCCGUAUUCAUAUUUUUAUUCUACACGUUUGGUUAGUUUAGUACUAUUUGGAGACUUUCACCAUUAGCUGUGCUAUACAAUACAUUUUACACAUUCUAAGAAAUGUAAGAUUACAAUGAAUUUAAUUAGAAUCAGAUAUAGACUUGUUUACUAUGCUAAGAUGUUGGCUAUUAUGUUGAUUCUCAUGAAUGGCUGACUUUAAACUAAGCUUGCUUUAAAGGUCCAGUGUUUGAAAUUUAGCGGCAUCUAGCGGUCGGGUGUGCGAAUUGCAACCAACGGCUCACUCCACCCCUCCCUUUCAAAGCACUACGGUGGCUUCAGAAUUUUAAAGUUUUACUUAAUUAAUAUUGCAUAUAGGAAUUUAUAGUCUGUUUAAUAUUUGACCUGUGUUUCUCUCUCCUUUAUCUUAAAUGUGUGCUUUCACUGUGUGUGCGUGCGUGUCUGUGUGUGUGCUUGCGUGUCUAUGUCUAUGUGUGUUAGUACUUGUGCAUAUUGUGUGAGUGGAGUGUUUUGUAUGUGGGUAUGUCUGUUUUCACCUUUCUCUUGUUUUUACAGGUAUAACUUUAAUCUUUUUGCUUAUAGUCAAUAUGUCUCAUGUACAGCUGCUUUGUAACAAUGAAAAUUGUAAAAAGCGCUAUAUAAAUAAAGUUGAGUUGAGAGUUGAGUUGAGUUUAGCUUCACAGGACUAAUAUGUCGUCAUAUUUUCACUUCUUUGUUGAAGGAGAUAACGUAUUUACGAAAUGCGCUCUAUAGAGCAGUUUGUCCUUUUAGGGCUACUGUAGAAACAACAUGGUGAAUUCCAUGCAAGAGGAGCCGCGGUGUAUGUAGAUAGAAAAAGAUCAUUCCAAGCUGUAUUGUCAAAUAGUGGAUGCCCAGGUGUACUAUCCAGCCAACUGGGAUAAGAACCUGGCUUUGGCUGCCGAGCGUUUGCUGCGCUCAGGGGGCGGAAGUUCCAGUCCAGAC